AGAGAAUAACAUAACAAAUGACACAACACGACAAAAUGAUAUCGAGCCACCGCCGCGUCCUCUCCGUAGUCGUUGCCGCCACACGCCCUUCACUGCUGCCGCAGCUGCGGGCCGCCGCAUAGGAAGACUGAGGCCCAAGAGGGAGAGGGGUGUUGGACAGGCCUUUAGGGUUUUGGUGGAGUUGUGGGCCGGCUGAGGUUGGCCCAUGAGGAGGGCCUCUGGCAUGAAAGGCUACGCAAGUUCAUCCUGUACGGGAGUUCAGCCUCCACGGCAGAAGAACGACGGCGGCGGUUCUGCUGCUUGCCGGCCGGCAGCAGGACAUAUCCAGAGGACGUG
rnacentral:lncRNA from 1 species